AAAUAGGAAAUGAUAUAAUCAUAAUUAAUUUCGACUUAAUUUUAGGUGUUAUUUAUGCCCCUAUUUU
rnacentral:tRNA from 1 species